rnacentral:rRNA from 1 species
CAGCACCUCAAGUGGUCAGGAUGAUUAUUGGGCCUAAAGCACCCGUAGCCGGCGCUGUAAGUUUUCGGUUAAAUCUGUACGCUCAACGGACAGGCUGCCGGGAAUACUGCAGCGCUAGGGAGUGGGAGAGGUAGACGGUACUCGGUAGGAAGGGGUAAAAUCCUUUGAUCUAUUGAUGACCACCUGUGGCGAAGGCGGUCUACCAGAACACGUCCGACGGUGAGGGAUGAAAGCUGGGGGAGCAAACCGGAUUAGAUACCCGAGUAGUCC